ensembl:lncRNA
AACGCAGAUAAAAGUUCAGUUAAAAACAGAAUGGGUGCAGAAUGUCCUAAUUUUCCUUCUAAUAAUUACAGCAGGUCAUUAAAACACAGACCUUCUUUAUUUCUUUCUUUUUGCAGUUUAUUAAUGAUAAUAAGUCCUGUAAAUGGUGAUGAAGUGCAGAAGAUCAGGAAGUGAGGAAAUGAGACCUGAGCGGCCAAUCGUCACGAGAAGAGCUUGAAUAAAAGAAGAAGGGCUGGUGCGCAGUCUGCCCUCCCUCGCUUUUAUUCGUACGAGUUCUGACGAUUGACAAGAUAAAGUAUUAAUACUCAGAAGCUGCAGCUUCUUACAUCCAGGAUGACCUCCUGCAUCUUACUGUCAGCUCUUGUCCACUUUUACAUUACAGCGAUGGUGGUGGUGGGACAAGUUACUUUGGACCAAGAAAGGUUCAUCAUUACCAAGAGCAGAGGGAAAAAUGCCAUUUUCCGCUGUAGAAUAAGAAGUGGACGGUGCAGGGAAAAUUAUGUCCACUGGUACCAGCAGAAAGACGGUGAAGGUCUCAUCAGGAUCCUCUACACCAACGGUGUCGCUGAACAGACGAGAGAUCAAAACCAUCCAGAGCAGCAGGACUUCUCUGCCGAUAAAGAUUUCUCUCUGAAGAUUAAAGCCGUGAGGGAAAUCCACGGUGCCACCUACUACUGCGCCUGCUGGGAUGGCCACAGUCGAGCAGAGAGAGUUCAGCGCUUCACAGAAAGCUCAGCUGCUCAGACACUGGCAGCGGGUUCUGCAGCACAUCACCGAAACGAGGGCUCAUCCAGUUUAUUAAUGAUAAUAAGUCCUGUAGAUGGUGAUGAAGUGCAGAAGAUCAGGAAGUGAGGAAAUGAGACCUGAGCGGCCAAUCGUCACGAGAAGAGCUUGAAUAAAAGAAGAAGGGCUGGUGCGCAGUCUGCCCUCCCUCGCUUUUAUUCGUACGAGUUCUGACGAUUGACAAGAUAAAGUAUUAAUACUCAGAAGCUGCAGCUUCUUACAUCCAGGAUGACCUCCUGCAUCUUACUGUCAGCUCUUGUCCACUUUUACAUUACAGCGAUGGUGGUGGUGGGACAAGUUACUUUGGACCAAGAAAGGUUCAUCAUUACCAAGAGCAGAGGGAAAAAUGCCAUUUUCCGCUGUAGAAUAAGAAGUGGAGAGUGCUACAACAAUUAUGUCCACUGGUACCAGCAGAAAGACGGUGAAGGUCUCAUCAGGAUCCUCUACACCAACGGUGUCGCUGAACAGACGAGAGAUCAAAACCAUCCAGAGCAGCAGGACUUCUCUGCCGAUAAAGAUUUCUCUCUGAAGAUUAAAGCCGUGAGGGAAAUCCACGGUGCCACCUACUACUGCGCCUGCUGGGAUGACCACAGUCGAGCAGAGAGAGUUCAGCGCUUCACAGAAAGCUCAGCUGCUCAGACACUGGCAGCGGGUUCUGCAGCACAUCACCGAAACGAGGGCUCAUCCAGGUCAGUUAGGUCCCACAGGUAGACGAGUGACACCAAUACACCCCCUGGGGGAUAUUUGGCAUUUGGCUACAUCAUUGUAGGGUUUUUUGGCCCACAACAAUAGCCUAUGAAGUAGAAUAUCCAGGCGAGGGUUCUGUACAGGGACCCAUCAUGUAGAACACUUCAUAUUGGGAUCCUUUUCCAAUGGAAAUGCAUUUCAGGUUCUACUUUUUUUUCAUAAUGAUGGUCAGUAAGACACUUUACUGCAUUUUUGCUUAAUGCGGAAUCAAGUCUCUAAGUCAUUUUGCACAUUUGUGGAGGUUCUUGUGAUGUCCACUCUCUCUUCAUGAAGAAAUUUUUAAAGAAAUGUUCUCAGAAGAAGCAUAAAUGAUUAAACUUUUUGAUACUCAAACAGUUCAAUGUGCUACAAAUCCUCCUCUGCUGCAUUAUAUUAAAUAAAAACAGUUUAGUGGAGCAGAAUUCAGUCAUUCCUUUCAUUUUUAUUAUCAUGACGUCAAGUACUGAGUCAUGAAUACAGAACAGAACAGUGUAGAAAAGAUCAGCGGCAUCCUUACUACAGACGUUAUUAACACC